GCGCCGGUGGUGUAGUGGGGUAGAGCACUCCCGCAGGAUAAGCAGUUGGUGUGGGUUCGAUUCCCACCUGGCGCU
rnacentral:tRNA from 1 species